rnacentral:rRNA from 1 species
UACGUAGGGCGCAAGCGUUAUCCGGAAUUAUUGGGCGUAAAGAGCUCGUAGGCGGUCUGUCACGUCGGCUGUGAAAACCCGGGGCUCAACCCCGGGCCUGCAGUCGAUACGGGCAGACUAGAGUGCGGUAGGGGAGACUGGAAUUCCUGGUGUAGCGGUGAAAUGCGCAGAUAUCAGGAGGAACACCGGUGGCGAAGGCGGGUCUCUGGGCCGUAACUGACGCUGAGGAGCGAAAGCGUGGGGAGCGAACAGG